UGGGGAAUAUUGGACAAUGGGGGCAACCCUGAUCCAGCCAUGCCGCGUGUGUGAAGAAGGCCUUUUGGUUGUAAAGCACUUUAAGCAGUGAAGAAGACUCCAUGGUUAAUACCCAUGGACGAUGACAUUAGCUGCAGAAUAAGCACCGGCUAACUCUGUGCCAGCAGCCGCGGUAAUACAGAGGGUGCAAGCGUUAAUCGGAAUUACUGGGCGUAAAGCGAGCGUAGGUGGCUUGAUAAGUCAGAUGUGAAAGCCCCGGGCUUAACCUGGGAACGGCAUCUGAUACUGUUAGGCUAGAGUAGGUGAGAGGAAGGUAGAAUUCCAGGUGUAGCGGUGAAAUGCGUAGAGAUCUGGAGGAAUACCGAUGGCGAAGGCAGCCUUCUGGCAUCAUACUGACACUGAGGUGCGAAAGCGUGGGUAGCAAACA
rnacentral:rRNA from 1 species